rnacentral:rRNA from 1 species
UACAGAGGUGGCAAGCGUUGUUCGGAAUUACUGGGCGUAAAGGGCGCGUAGGCGGUCUUGUCAGUCCCUUGUGAAAUCCCCCGGCUCAACUGGGGAACUGCAAGGGAAACAGCAGGGCUUGAGUUCGGGAGAGGGAAGCGGAAUUCCGGGUGUAGCGGUGAAAUGCGUAGAUAUCCGGAGGAACACCGGUGGCGAAGGCGGCAUCCUGGACCAAUACUGACGCUGAGGAGCGAAAGCCAGGGGAGCAAACAGG